rnacentral:lncRNA from 1 species
AGUGUUACUCACCAACAUGCAGCUCAUUGUCUGUGUCCAGGAACUAUACACCCUCUACACAUCCUCAAAGUGACUGGCCAGGAAAUCAAAGUUCAUUUGGAAGGUAUUGUCCCUGAAAAUGAAGUCAUGUUUCUGGCAGGCUCGAUGCUGGAGGAUGAUACCACCCUAGGCCAGUGUAGAGCCCCUAACUACUCUAGAAGUACCUGGUUUUAUGGUGGGAGGUAAAGUUCCUCGUACUCUGGCUUGUGCUGGGUGAGAGAUCAUACUCCCAGGUGGCCAAACAGGAGAAGACAGGCUAGGCUAAGUGGUGAAUGUGGUACAACUCUUGCUCUGUCAAGGUUGUUCUCACCUUUGGCAAGAAGGGCCCCAAU